rnacentral:lncRNA from 1 species
AAGCAGUGAGCAAUCAAAAGAAAAAGCAAGAAAAAGUGAGAAAAAGAAAGAUUAAAAAAAAAAACUCACUGCAAUAGAAGGCUGGGAAAAAGAUAAGAGAGUUGUUCUUGAAAGGUGAAUUCAUAAAUGUCUCUCUUAACUCAAGGAACUACGCUAACCAGAAAAACCAAUUUCCUUCUUAGCCCAGCCAAGUUACAAGCCAUGAAAAGCCCUUGUGAUGACAACCUGUUUGUAAGUAUGUUUGAUUGUGGUUAAAUGAAAGGCAAAAUUAAUUUAUGUGACAUUGUGACAACAGAGAGAAACACCACAC